rnacentral:rRNA from 1 species
CUGGCGGCAGGCUUACACAUGCAAGUCGAACGGUAGCAGGAGGAAGCUUGCUUUCUUGCUGAUGAGUGGCGGACGGGUGAGUAAUGCUUGGGAAUCUGGCUUAUGGAGGGGGAUAACUACUGGAAACGGUAGCUAAUACCGCGUAAUAUCAAGAGAUUAAAGGGUGGGACUUUCGGGCCACCUGCCAUAAGAUGAGCCCAAGUGGGAUUAGGUAGUUGGUGGGGUAAAGGCCUACCAAGCCUGCGAUCUCUAGCUGGUCUGAUAGGAUGGCCAGCCACACUGGAACUGAGACACGGUCCAGACUCCUACGGGAGGCAGCAAGUGGGGAAUAUUGCACAAUGGGGGGAACCCUGAUGCAGCCAUGCCGCGUGAAUGAAGAAGGCCUUCAGGUUGUAAAGUUCUUUCGGUGAUGAGGAAGGUGUUUUGUUUAAUAGACAAAGCAAUUGACGUUAGUCACAGGAGAAGCACCGGCUAACUCCGUGCCAGCAGCCGCGGUAAU